CGCGGCCUAUCAGCUUGUUGGUGGGGUAAUGGCUCACCAAGGCGACGACGGGUAGCCGGCCUGAGAGGGUGACCGGCCACACUGGGACUGAGACACGGCCCAGACUCCUACGGGAGGCAGCAGUGGGGAAUAUUGCACAAUGGGCGAAAGCCUGAUGCAGCGACGCCGCGUGGGGGAUGAAGGCCUUCGGGUUGUAAACCCCUUUCAGCAGGGAAGAAGCGAAAGUGACGGUACCUGCAGAAGAAGCGCCGGCUAACUACGUGCCAGUAGCCGCGGUAAUUCGUAGGGCGCAAGCGUUGUCCGGAAUUAUUGGGCGUAAAGAGCUCGUAGGCGGUCUGUCGCGUCUGCUGUGAAAACCCGAGGCUCAACCUCGGGCCUGCAGUGGGUACGGGCAGACUAGAGUGCGGCAGGGGAGACUGGAAUUCCUGGUGUAGCGGUGGAAUGCGCAGAUAUCAGGAGGAACACCGAUGGCGAAGGCAGGUCUCUGGGCCGCAACUGACGCUGAGGAGCGUAAGCAUGGAGAGCGAACAGGAUUAGAUACCCUGGUAGUCCAUGCCGUAAACGUUGGGCACUAGGUGUGGGGCUCAUUCCACGAGUUCCGUGCCGCAGCAAACGCAUUAAGUGCCCCGCCUGGGGAGUACGG
rnacentral:rRNA from 1 species